rnacentral:lncRNA from 1 species
UGCUGUGGGGGGAGGGGGUUGUUCAAGGGAUGGGGACGAUCAGGGUCUCUGGGAAGUGCUGACGUGUGCGCGUGUGCGGUGUGUUGCUUGUGGGUGCGUGUGUGGUGUGUGCAUGUGUGUGCGCGCGCGUGUGUGCGGGGUGUGCCGUGAGCGUGUGCCCGCGGUUCGGGGGAUGAGUAGGGGCGCUGACUUUUAGGACCAGCCAUUUGAGUCAAGCUGGAGACGACGUCUUAGAACCUAGGAUGAGUCUCGUUUGGUUUUAGUCUGCAAAGCUCGUCUGCAUCAGACAGGAAUUUUCCCCAGACGCGGGUGCACGUGAAUUAAUUCAUCAGAAGGCGGUUCACGGCCUGAGUGAGGGGGACGAGGGCGGCGAAUUCCUCCGCCUCAUUCCUACCCUGACGAUUCGAGGUGCCGCUCCGAGUGCUCUACACAGAUUUUCAUUCAGUCCUUGCGGCACACGAAGGUAGGCGGCCCCACUGCCCUCACAGAGGCUUCCCAUGCAGGAGCCAGUGACUGGCGGAGCGCCGCUCACACUCAGGCUCCGCGAACUGCCUCCCUGCCCUCCCCUGCCCCGGACAGACGGUCCUCCAUAAGAGGCAGGAUUUCCCUGUGGUCCAAAGGUGUGUGUCCCUGCCACAUUGGGAGUUCAGCUCACUGCGGUCCUGUCCAGCUUGCCCCCGUCUCCCAUCCACAUCAGGAUCUGGCUUUGCCCCAGCUAUGUGGAAUGAGUGCAUGAACAAAUGAAUGGGUGGGUUGCUCCAUCUUGUGACAGGACAGCAAAGUCAGCUGGUUCUGCUCCUACGGCGCUCAGGGUCAGGUGAGACAGGCCGGCCCGCAGGCAGACAGGCCCUCAUCUCUGUAUUGGGGGUGGGGAAGGGGCUCUGGCAGGGCGCAUGCCCCAGCAGCAGGAACGUCAAGAGCAGAGGCCCUGGAGGAGACAGCCCGGAGCUGGCGCACAGUAAAGUCUUCAGAUAGGAGGGGCAGAGUGAGGGUGCCACCGUCGGGCAGCAGGUGCCCACCCAGAAGGGUCUUUGAGCCUUGCGGGGAAGUUCAGACUUUACCCUGAGGAUAAAGGAGGUCCUGGACCCGCAGGAGGAUGCCCUGGUGGGUCUAGAAGGAGCCCUGCCACUGGGGAGCUGGUGGGGUUUCCGCCCUCACGGUGCAAUCACAGGGUUGCCUGCUUAUCUCCCCCGCCCUUUUCCCAUCACUUCCUGAGACUCUGCAGAUGGUCAGCAGUGUUCCUGAGUGGAUGACAUUGGGUGGGCAGAGAGAGGGGAGGGCAGUCUGUGGUCCCAGUCAUGUAGAGCUUCCUUGUACAGUCUGUGGUCCCAGUCAUGUAGAGCUUCCUUGUACAGUCUGUUGAGCUCACAUACCCUCAAUGGCCCUUCACUCACAGGGAUGGCCUCUGCACUUCAGCUGGUUUCUGACACCUAAAAACAGAAGUGGAAAAGGGAGCAGACGCAGCCACAUUUUGAAAGCUGAUUCGGUUGCUUUCUGGCAGAAUCCCUGCCCCCAAGCACCUGCCAGGCCCACCCAUGAAGCCUCUUCCCACGCCUUAACUCUGCCCCAUGAGGGGACCUCAAGCAGUUGCAGUCUAGUCAGGUGAUUUGCAGAGCUCAGGGCUCAGGGAGGGGCACCCACCUCAGAAAAAAGCGCCGUGCUCAUGAGAAAUGACUUCUACAGGUUGUUGGGGAAAGAGGAGUUAUUUUAAAGAUCACAGAGCCCGUGAUGUGCCAGGCGCACCCACACAGGGCAUAUAGUCCCCGCAGCUGCCUCUGUGCUGGGGCCACGUCACCGUCCUGUCCUAAAGACAAGCAAUGUGAAGCCCAGAGAUGGUAUCUUAAAACAAUCGUGUGGUUUUUUUCUGAUUACAACAGCAAUUGUGUUAAUCCAACAAUAUUUUUCCUAUCAACUGUAAACCUUAUUUUAAUAUUUACAUAUUUAUUAGCAUUUAAAAUUCAAUCUCCUAGAAUAUUGACUUCAAUUAGUUUGGCUGAUUCUAAUUUUUUUUUUCUAAUUUGUUUAUCACUUAACUUUUUAAGUACUUUUUUUUUUUAGACAGAGUCUUGCUCUGUCACCCAGGCUGGAGUGCAGUGGUGCAAUCUCGGCUCACUGCAACCUCUGCCUCCUGGGCUCAAGCGAUUCUCCUGCCUCAACCUCCCGAGUAGCUGGGACUACAGGCUCACACCACCAUGCCCAGCUAAUUUUUAUAUUUUUAGUAGAGAUGGGGUUUCACCAUGUUGUCCAGGCUGGUCUCGAACUCCUGACCUCAAGUGAUCCCCCACCUCAGCCUCCCAAAGUGCUGGGAUUACAGGUGUGAGCCACCGUGCCUGGCCUGUUUUUAGUACUUUUAUCCUUUAUCUUUUUAACUACGUAAGUACUCAACAUUUUAAAUUAUUAAUCUUCACCAUGUUAUUUCCAAGAACAAUCACGAUUGAUCUUUCAGUUACACAGCCACGGUGUGUGCCUCUCUGUGUAACUCUGCACAGCUGGUGAUUUACUGAAAGAACUUACUCUCAUAAAACCACAGCCAGCGAGUUCUCAGAGACACAAUAAUGCACCUUAAUUAUGAGUUUAAAAGCUCUUGUCUUGUGAAAUGUAAUCGAUCCACAGAAAAAUCAUAAAGUAUACAUGUAAUAGCUUAAUGACUUAUAAAUGAAGAUCUGUAUACUUCCCACUCGAAAAACGGAAUAUUGCAGGAUUUGAGUACACAACCCGUACCUUUCCAACGACAGCCUCCCUCCCACCAGAGCUUCUGCUGAGUUCACUUGAAAUCACUUCCUUGCAUUUAUUUAUACUUUUAUUACCUUGAGGUGCAUCCCUAACCAUUCUAGUUCGAUUUUGCCUGGUGUUUGAACUUUAUAUUAAUGGAAUCAUAGGACAUAAUUCUUAUAUCUCUGGUUUCUUUCAUUCAACUUUGUGUCUGCGAAAUGUAUCCAUGUUGCAUGCAACGGGGGCUCAUUCAUCGCUGGUUACUGAUUCACUGCAUGAGUAUGACACAGUUUAUUAACCAUUUCACUGCUGAUGAACAUUUGAUCAUUUCUAGUUUGGGAAUAUUAUUAAUAAUUUUUGAACCUUCUUAUUUGUGUGCCCUGAUGUACAUGGACAUGCAUUUUAGGGGUGUAUACUUAGGGAAAUUGCCGGUUCAUGAGUAACACCUAUCUUCAGGUAUUACUUUUUGUGCCCUUUUAUGCUGAACUACAAUUUACGUGCAAUACCAAUCAUUCAUAUUAAGUGUACAACUCAGUGAGUUUAGACAACUGGACACCUUGUUGUGAGUCACCACCACCGAGAUGAUCCAGCACUGUCCCAACUCCCCCCAAGUUCUCCUUUGCAGGCACCCUCUCCCUCCAUUCUGGGCACAGGCAACCAUGAACCACUAUCUGUCACCGUAGCUUUAGUAUAAAAUUUCACAUACAUGGACUCAGGGAGCAUAGAGUCUUUCCUGUCUGGCUUCUUUCCGCUGGCAAAAUGCUUGGAGACUUUUCCACGUUGCUGCAUGAAUCAAUGGAUCAUUUGUUUUCGUGGCUGAGCAGAAUUCCACCAACAUUUGUUUACUCAUCCAUGAAAUGAUGGACAUUUGGUGUUUUUCCAUUGAGAUUGUUAUGAAUAAUGCUGCUAUUGUCAUUCAAGGACAAGUCUUCUGUGAACAUCUGUUUUCACUUCUCUUGGGUACAUCCUUAGAAGUGGUAUUGCUGGACUGUAUCAAAAGUUAAUAUUUAACUUUCAGGAAACUUACAAACUGUUUUCCAGAGUGGCUGUACCAUUUUGCAUUCCCAGACCGAAGUGUGAAAGCUCCAGAUGCCCCACGCCCUCACCAGCCCACGGUGUUGUCAGCCUUAAUAGUGCUGACCAUUCUGCCUGUUAAUAUGAUGAAUUACACUGAUUCAGUUUCAAAUGUCCAACCAAGCUUGCACUCCAGAGAUGAAGCCCACUUGAUCACAUGGAUUAUUCUUUUAAUAUAUGAUGGAUACGACUUGGCUGUUCUUUUGUUGAGGAUUUUUGUGUUUAUGUUAAUGAGGAUAUUAUUUGUAGUUUUCUUUUCUUGUAAUGUUUUUGUCUUUGUUCAGUGUCAGAGUAAUGCCAACUUCAUAAAGUGAGCUGGGAAGUA